rnacentral:rRNA from 1 species
CGCGUAGGCGGCUGUUCAAGUCGGGGGUGAAAUCCCGUGGCUCAACCACGGAAUGGCCUUCGAUACUGGACGGCUCGAGACCGGAAGAGGUGAGUGGAACUGCGAGUGUAGAGGUGAAAUUCGUAGAUAUUCGCAAGAACACCAGUGGCGAAGGCGGCUCACUGGUCCGGUUCUGACGCUGAGGCGCGAAAGCGUGGGGAGCAAACA